GACGAACGCUGGCGGCGUGCUUAACACAUGCAAGUCGAACGGAAAGGCCCUGCUUUUUUGGGGUGCUCUAGUGGCUAACGGGUGAGUAACACGUGAGUAACCUGCCCUUUACUUUGGGAUAACUUCAGGAAACUGGGGCUAAUACCGGAUAGUAGCUCCUGCUGCAUGGUGGGGGUUGGAAAGUUUCGGCGGUUGGGGAUGGACUCGCGGCUUAUCAGCUUGUUGGUGGGGUAGUGGCUUACCAAGGCUUUGAAGGGUAGCCGGCCUGAGAGGGUGACCGGCCACAUUGGGACUGAGAGACGGCCCAGACGCCUACGGGGGGCAGCAGUGGGGAAUAUUGCACAAUGGGCGGAAGCCUGAUGCAGAAACGCCGCGUGCGGGAUGAAGGCCUUCGGGUUGUAAACCGCUUUCGCCUGUGACGAAGCGUGAGUGACGGUAAUGGGUAAAGAAGCACCGGCUAACUACGUG
rnacentral:rRNA from 1 species